rnacentral:rRNA from 1 species
UUGCUACAGGCUUAACACAUGCAAGUCGAGGGGCAGCAUGGUCUUAGCUUGCUAAGGCCGAUGGCGACCGGCGCACGGGUGAGUAACACGUAUCCAACCUGCCGUCUACUCUUGGACAGCCUUCUGAAAGGAAGAUUAAUACAAGAUGGCAUCAUGAGUCCGCAUGUUCACAUGAUUAAAGGUAUUCCGGUAGACGAUGGGGAUGCGUUCCAUUAGAUAGUAGGCGGGGUAACGGCCCACCUAGUCUUCGAUGGAUAGGGGUUCUGAGAGGAAGGUCCCCCACAUUGGAACUGAGACACGGUCCAAACUCCUACGGGAGGCAGCAGUGAGGAAUAUUGGUCAAUGGGCGAGAGCCUGAACCAGCCAAGUAGCGUGAAGGAUGACUGCCCUAUGGGUUGUAAACUUCUUUUAUAAAGGAAUAAAGUCGGGUAUGGAUACCCGUUUGCAUGUACUUUAUGAAUAAGGAUCGGCUAACUCCGUGCCAGCAGCCGCGGUAAUACGGAGGAUCCGAGCGUUAUCCGGAUUUAUUGGGUUUAAAGGGAGCGUAGAUGGAUGUUUAAGUCAGUUGUGAAAGUUUGCGGCUCAACCGUAAAAUUGCAGUUGAUACUGGAUAUCUUGAGUGCAGUUGAGGCAGGCGGAAUUCGUGGUGUAGCGGUGAAAUGCUUAGAUAUCACGAAGAACUCCGAUUGCGAAGGCAGCCUGCUAAGCUGCAACUGACAUUGAGGCUCGAAAGUGUGGGUAUCAAACAGGAUUAGAUACCCUGGUAGUCCACACGGUAAACGAUGAAUACUCGCUGUUUGCGAUAUACUGCAAGCGGCCAAGCGAAAGCGUUAAGUAUUCCACCUGGGGAGUACGCCGGCAACGGUGAAACUCAAAGGAAUUGACGGGGGCCCGCACAAGCGGAGGAACAUGUGGUUUAAUUCGAUGAUACGCGAGGAACCUUACCCGGGCUUAAAUUGCAGAUGAAUUACGGUGAAAGCCGUAAGCCGCAAGGCAUCUGUGAAGGUGCUGCAUGGUUGUCGUCAGCUCGUGCUGUGAGGUGUCGGCUUAAGUGCCAUAACGAGCGCAACCCUUGUUGUCAGUUACUAACAGGUUCCGCUGAGGACUCUGACAAGACUGCCAUCGUAAGAUGUGAGGAAGGUGGGGAUGACGUCAAAUCAGCACGGCCCUUACGUCCGGGGCUACACACGUGUUACAAUGGGGGGUACAGAGGGCCGCUACCACGCGAGUGGAUGCCAAUCCCCAAAACCUCUCUCAGUUCGGACUGGAGUCUGCAACCCGACUCCACGAAGCUGGAUUCGCUAGUAAUCGCGCAUCAGCCACGGCGCGGUGAAUACGUUCCCGGGCCUUGUACACACCGCCCGUCAAGCCAUGGGAGCCGGGGGUACCUGAAGUGCGUAACCGCGAGGAGCGCCCUAGGGUAAAACUGGUGACUGGGGCUA